GACGAACGCUGGCGGCGUGCCUAAUACAUGCAAGUCGAGCGAAUCAAUAGGAGCUUGCUCCUGUUGAUUAGCGGCGGACGGGUGAGUAACACGUGGGCAACCUGCCUGUAAGACUGGGAUAACUUCGGGAAACCGGAGCUAAUACCGGAUAAUUCUUUUCCUCUCAUGAGGAAAGGCUGAAAGUCGGUUUCGGCUGACACUUACAGAUGGGCCCGCGGCGCAUUAGCUAGUUGGUGAGGUAACGGCUCACCAAGGCGACGAUGCGUAGCCGACCUGGGAGGGUGAUCGGCCACACUGGGACUGAGACACGGCCCAGACUCCUACGGGAGGCAGCAGUAGGGAAUCUUCCGCAAUGGACGAAAGUCUGACGGAGCAACGCCGCGUGAGCGAUGAAGGCCUUCGGGUCGUAAAGCUCUGUUGUUAGGGAAGAACAAGUAUCGGAGUAACUGCCGGUACCUUGACGGUACCUAACCAGAAAGCCACGGCUAACUACGUGCCAGCCGCCGCAGUAA
rnacentral:rRNA from 1 species